AUCUCAUGUGCCUGCAUGUCUGGAUGUGGCCAAAAAGCACCCUUUCAAUCUGCUGGCCAGAUUAGACAGGUAAAGUUAAUGGCUCAAAAAUUCAAUUUUCAAUGGGACUUCAAUAUAUUUUAAAUAAACAUCUGUUUUUACAAGCAAUUAAAAGCGAAAUGGCAUUUAAAUAACAUGACUAAUUCUACCAGCCAGUGUAUUAUCAGGCCAACCCAUUUGGCAUUAAAUUCUCUUUAUGCAAUUUUUGUGGUGGCUGUUUGGCACAAUGCAGAAACAAAACACUUUGGAGAUCUGGCUGCUAAAUAAAUAUCCUCUUCUGUAUUUUAUCUAAUUGCUCCAAUGCUUAACUUGCAUUGUAACAUUUUUUCCCUAUGUGGUAUGAACCAUUAGAUAGCCUUUAAAAAUGCUAAACUAAGUUAUCUGGAAAGAUGCCAAUAAGGAAAUAAUUAAGGACUUGGUGGCAUUUUUCUGUUUUAAAGGUCAUGGAAUAAGUCAAGACCUGGAAAAAUACAGUAUUUUAAUUGAAUGUAUUUACAGUAUUGAGAUUCUGGUGUAAUUGAGAGAGUGUUUCCCUAGAAUUUAUCUAAGAUUUCUUUGCCCUUUUCAGUAAAAUGGCAGUUUAUUUAUUUAUUUUUUUCAGAUGAAGGAUCCAGUGAAGCCCAUGGUGGUGGAACCCAGUGGAACAGUAACAGCACAUCACAAUAGGUCCCCACUCCCCAUGUAUUUGGAAGAACUUUGGCGCUUAAUUACUAAAUAGCUAGUUUGUGACUGGGCAUUGUCACUCUCCAGGUCAGUGUGCAGCAAGAGAUCCAUAUUCCCUCUACUGUGGUGAAAGGUAAGAACAACUCGAGGUAAGAGGAAAUGGAGUUUAGGGGGGAACCAGAGGAUAUGUGACAGCAAGAGACAACAGCCUGGAAGUUGUUGCAGAUGCCAGCCUGAUGGAGACUAGCUAUAGCAACAAAGUUGCGGCCAGCAAGCAAGCAAAUAAUGUAGAGAGGGAAGUAACACUGCAAUAUAUUAAUCUUCUGAAGUUCAGUGCUUCCAAGCUUUAGGUUGACGACUUUGGGGGCUUUUUUUUUUGCUUGUUGUUUUUGCCUAACAAUUUAAAGAAAUUUUGAGGCCAGGACAUUUGGGCCUUUAAUUUUUGGUAACCUUAGUAAAGAAACAUCCUACAUGUGAAAGCAUUUCCUGGGAAACUAAUAAAGUCUUGAAUCUAA